AACAAAUAAGAGGGAAAGAUGUGCUGGGAAACAUCCAUAAACAAGUCAUACAAAUGGUUCAAGGGUUGGGGAAAUUGCCAAAGAGCCUAUGCACUUAGGCAUUGGAUCAGCUUUGGGCAUGCACAUUAAUAGAAGAUGCUAGCAUGCCUAGAAGCCUCCCGGAACACACAAUGCUAGAGAAACAUAGAGGUUAGGAUCCCAAGGGAUCAAGAUUAAGUCAUAGGCAGUAAUAUUCAAUACUUUCAUGCCUUAAGCAAACCACAAGCAUUAAAUACAUUGGGGUAGAGGUUUAGGAUGCAUAGUAAAUAUAGAACAGGCAGAAGCAUGCUAAAAUAAACACUAAACUAAACACUAGCAGUAGACAAACAAAAAAUAAGGAAAAGCAUUAAGUAAACACAUUGUUAUGAUGCUUAAAUCUAUAUCAGGACAUACCAGUUCAAAGAGCAAAAUACAGUAAAAGCAAGUAGCAGGGCAUGAAAGAAGGCCACAAUAGAAGUAAUAAAGCAUGAGAGAAUGUUUUUGAGUGUCAGUGAUUUUUUAGAACUCAGAGUGUGUGUCUCUGUUACUGUUAAUGAAAAGGUGGGUAUUUAUAGUUUG
rnacentral:lncRNA from 1 species